GGAUAUUUUAUUCCAGCAAGUCCAGAGUGCAGCCCUCAGUCAAUGAGCUCCGGAAGGCGGGAAAUCUUGUUGAAAGGGGCGGGAACACGAAACCACUUUUCGCGCGCUAUUGCCUUGCACACCAGAGAAGUUGAUUAGAGUCUGUGUGAGAGAACUGUCGGAAAAAGCUUCUUGCAGACCAGGAAAAUGUGGAGCUGCUCAAACGACGGAGCUUAUCGAAGCACAAGAAGGUGAUAAAGUUACUCUUGAGUGUUGCACCGAUCCCCCGACCGACUUGAAGAAUUAUACACUGACCUGUACGAGGACUGAUGGCAACUUCAGUGGUUCCAACCAAUAUGUCUACUCCCGUCGACAUGGAGUGGAAAAUCCACAACCACAGAUGGAGCAAUACAAAAACCGAACACAUCUGGUCCUUGAAAACCUGAGAGAAGGGGUCCUGAGUCUAGAGAUCUCCCCAGUACAGACCAGUGACGGUGGACAGUACAAAUGUUUUAUAGUAACGCUGAAGAUCCCCUGCCAUUAUACUGUUACAGUAAAUGGUAAACGGAAUUGGACAGAGGUUCUUGUCAUGACGACAGCUUCAGUGGAAGUAACAACAAAUCCAGAUGAAGGACCAAAGAAACCUCCUGGGUGGAUCAUUGCCAUUGUCAUCGCUGCUGCUGCUGUUCUCGUGGUUGUUGCCAUCAGAGUUCUGUGGAAACUCAAAAACAUGAGACUCUGUGAGAAGCUCAGAGGAAGGAGGGAUGAAGAAGUUCCCUGGGAAAUGGAAAAUCUGAGGACCAAAGCAGCAGAAAGUGAUGAAAACGUCACUGGUGCAGCAAACGGCCAAAGAAACCUCCAGCAAUGAAGUGAUGAAUGAAAGGAUGAUCAUCAUGAUCACAACUGUCCUGGAUCUACAAACACAACAACAAACAUGUUUCUAAACAUGGAAACACAGUUUUAGUUAGAAAGACAAACGCUGUCUAGAAAACCUGCAGCUCAAAUCCUCCAUCUUCUGAGCGGAUGUCCAAAGUAUUUUAAAUCACAGUUUUAUGUAAGCAAACAGAAUAAUUUUAAAACCAACACUUUUAGUCUACAUGGCAUCAGUCAGCCUCUAGCCUUAAAUUAUGGGCUGUUCAGCUCCACAGUAAAACCAUCAGACAUUUGCAGUUCCUUCAAAAUGCUGCUGCUAGAAUUCUGACAAACACCAAGAAGGAAACGCAGCACAGUCAUUUUUAGAUCCCUGCACUGACUUUCAGUCAGUUAUGGCAGAAAUGUAAUCAAUCAUGUGCCAUUCCAUUCAGCGUAGGCGAUCAUUUCUCUCAUCUAAUCCCAUCUUUUGCUUUCUGAAUUGUGACUGUUGAUCGUUCCAUGUGUCGCCAUGAUCUCAGUCCUUCUAUCAUUUUCAUUCUGUCUGCCUCGUCCUCUCUUCCCAGUAGUUUUUCUAGUUGUGACGAUAUAUUCCAGUGAAAUUGAAGGCCUUACUUAUUCUGUAAAUCUCUCAGCUGGUCUGGGCCCAAGUUAUGUCACAGAUACGUUUACUGAUACUAACCUGGUAGGACUAGACAGCUGGUGACGUCCAGAACUGAAUAUCAAAUAACACUAAUAUAUUGAAUUGAAACUGUUAUUUAUCACUGUAUAUUUAUAGAGUUAGAGUUUUUUUUAAUGAUUUAAGUCUUGUUAAUAUAUAUAAUUAAUGUUGUGCAUGUUUGGUUGUUAUUAUUUAUUUGUCUUUCUAAUGAAGUCAUUUCACUGGAACAAAAUGUUUUUUGUUGUGCUCUUUUCUGUCUUUUCAAAUAAAAACACUUCAAGUGAUCGUGUGCUGCUUGUUCUACCUGUUGC
ensembl:lncRNA